UGCCCUACGGGGCGCAGCAGUGGGGAAUAUUGCACAAUGGGGGAAACCCUGAUGCAGCGACGCCGCGUGAGUGAAGAAGUAUUUCGGUAUGUAAAGCUCUAUCAGCAGGGAAGAAGAAGGACGGUACCUGAGUAAGAAGCCCCGGCUAACUACGUGCCAGCAGCCGCGGUAAUACGUAGGGGGCAAGCGUUAUCCGGAUUUACUGGGUGUAAAGGGAGCGUAGACGGCGGUGCAAGCCAGAUGUGAAAGCCCGGGGCUCAACCCCGGGACUGCAUUUGGAACUGUGCUGCUAGAGUGGCGGAGAG
rnacentral:rRNA from 1 species